AGCAAUGAAUGGCUUGGUGGCAGUGACUCGCCUGACACCAAUUCGUUCAUUUGCUUU
rnacentral:pre_miRNA from 1 species